ACCCGCAGCCUCCGGGGCUGCCAGGCUCGAUUUUCCGAGCGGGCUUUAUGGGAAUAUCGAUAGAAUUAAAGUUACUUGUAAUUCCGUGAUAAAUGAGAUGUCUCGAGUAAGUAAGAUUAAGUGCGGUGCUAUAAAGUUGUUUAUCUGAAAAGUAAUUCUCAGAAACCUGACUUCUGACACUUGGUCAUAUAUUAAACCAGCUUCUUGAACAUUGUACUUCAAAUCCUCCCUUCUCCCCUUGCCCGGUCCCUUCCCCCUCGGAGUUUGCUAUUUAUAACUGCGCGCAGGGUACUACUCGGUAGGUGCGGGCAAGCCUCUGGGUAAUUUUUCACCGACUGUGAAAAUCAUCAUUUGCGAUAGCCAAAGAAUCUCUGCUGAGGAAAUAGUACUUGGCUAGUGGAUUUACGAAUGGAUAACAUCUUCUGACUAUGCCAUUAUCAGUACGAGUGCCAGUACUAACAUCUGAAAGUCAUACAGCAUGUACUGUUCCUGGCAGCUAAAAACGGUAGGGCAUACUGCAAAUUUAGGAAGAUGGCUAUGGCUAGAAAUGAUCAUAGAGGCAAUUCUCUAAAGCUAAAAAAUGCUACCGACGUCGCUAACAAAAUUAAAAUUCACUUCUGCACGGUCCCGAAACACGCCCGCACACACACAGCCGUGGACAUCUGCUAGCUUUAUCUUACGGACUGCGAUUCAUGACAAAGUUAGUGCAACUUAACUACUCGGGCUGGCUUUCCUAUUUCUUCACGUCGUCGGAAUCAACAAAACUUCCAGGCUCGCAGCAUAAAUCCCCCCAGGACAGCCCAAUUCCCUGUAUUUGUUUUUUCCCUGAGCGAGAUGAAUGUGGUACUGUAUAUCAUUUAACAUGCUCACCUAUGAGAGACAUAAAAUGUGUGCUAAUAUUUUUAAAUGAAAAGGUUAUUGCUUUUCAGAAUGUACAAUUGUAGUAUUUCACUUGCCCGCUUGAUAGAUGGCUGUGGAAAUGUGGCUCCAGCCCCAUAAAAUAGUUUGUUUGGACGUGAGGAUUCAAAGUGCUACAUUUGCAAACGAGUAAAUUUCCUGAGUAAACUCUGAACUCCAGACAAAGAGUAUGAAAUUGCAUGAGCUAAUGGGGACCGUCUCUUAAUUGAUACCAAUGUAAGCAAGUGCUGCAAAUUAAUUGGAGCUCUGACCUACCAGAACAGCCGGUAAAAUUAUUAGUUGUAUAAUAUUGUUCUUGUGUGAUUGUUACACAGAACUGCUGCACCAAAAUGUCUCUGCUGUUCAGCGCAGCAGAGAAAAAAAGAUUAUUAGCAAUUUUUGGAUAACCUUCAGAAGCAACAUUCUCCUCCCUACACUAUAUAACUCUCAUUUUAGUAGUAUUUUUCUUUAUUAUUUGGCUAUUCACAAUGGGUGUCUAAACAUUUACAGUCCUCUAUUAACAGUGUUUCUUCCAUAACAAUCACACACUUUCAUUUCAAUUAGAGCUAUUCAGCCUUCAGUUUUUCCACAAUUAUCGCAGGCCAAUUCCCCCAGACUGCUCCCUUUUCCCAGCACUGUUUGUAACAAUCCUGCCCUGAGCCAGGCAGAGGGAAAACUCCAGCGUCCCCCUCGUAGCCUCUCACUCCCGCUUGUUUUCAAGCAUCUCUGUUCGACGACAUAACGUGGAGCCUUGCUCGCUCCCACUUUGCUGCUGACCUGGUUCACGAGCCUUCAAGCUAACGUAUAUUUAUCGUGGGAGAGUUUUCUGACAGAUCGCGCAGGGGGACGUGAAACAUUAACUCCAAAUACACUCGGAUCGCCCCGCAUUGGGACGAGCACGCCAGCAGCGUAUGCGAGACCUUCCAUCGCUGAAGUGUGUGUGUGCCUGUGUGUGUAUCUAACACAGAAGACUUAGCAGAAGCGAACGUGCAGGUUAUGAGUUAUAUGGACUCGGAGUGUAAUUUGUUAUUACUUAAACACGUAUCAAGACCAACACAUUAAGUACAGUUACUGCUCCUUUUGUUUAUCUAGUGUCUUAUUUUAUGGUGCAGAACUAAACAGUGUCCGCUGAAUUUAACUAUGAAACCAGCCAAAUUGAUUUCAGAAAGACUUCUUCAGAGUAACAGAGUGAUAAGGCAUAAACUGCUCCUAGGUGCAGUGCUAGAUAAAUCCUUUUAACAGUCUUCAGAUCAGUUAACAGGGUAAGUAAAUCACAUAUCACUGUUAGCAGAUUUAUGGGAGAGAAUUAAUAGAAUCAGACGAGAUAAUCUGGUAGGGAUAAAAUUGCUGAGGAAACAGUCCUGCCUUAUAUUGGAGGGUAUGAAACAACAGUCUGAUUACUGGGAGUCGUUAUGGAUUGGUGAAUUAUGAGCUAAACCAUCAUAAGAGUAAUUCAGUAUUUAUUAAUUCUUUUCUCUUUAAACAACUCACAGACGCAAAUAAAAGCCUCUCUCUCUUUGAAGACACAUUCUUUAUAUAUUUUUAUUGGAUGUAAUUUACUAUUUGCAUUACCUGUAUUUACUUCAUAAUUGAACAUUUUGCAUUCAAAUUUAUGUAAUGCAUUAUGCUUGAGAAUAUAUUUCUCCCUUAUUAGCAUAAAUAGUCACUUACCUCAUGAAUUACUAACAAAGUUUAUCUGAAAAUACAGGUAUAUUUUUUAUUAAGUGGAACACAAACAUAUGCACAAUAAAUUCUGAUUUGCCAGAAGUGUUACAGAAACACAGAACAGCCCUGUAUCGGAGAUGAGGGAAAAGAAGCAGCAGCAAAGAAACAGAAUCAAUUACUACGUGUAGGGGGCUGGCGCUACGAGAAAUGAGAGACGUCGGUGGAUCUGCUGGCAGGAAAUCAGGUCUGCUCCCCAAAAUUCCAAGGCAAGAUUCCCAGUUAACUUGUGGUGGAUCUCCUUUACGCUCAGGUUUUAUCAUCGUGAUACUGUGGGCCAGGAUGCCUGUAUGUUUUGUCUGGACGCAUAAAGCCAGUCCUCCCGGGAGCAUUCGAAUGAGCACAUCUAUAAAUGUAGAGCAGCAAAAUGAGCUACUUUUGCCACUCUCGCUUUUCCCGAGCCUGGUACAAUCCAUUUCUGUGACAACAGUUUUCUGCCCCAUACGCAUCUGAUACUGCUCUUUUAUUUUAAGGCUGAGAAAAUCUUCCCUUUAAACUCACGCUGAGCAUCAAAUUGGACUCCACUUGCAGCUGAACAUCUUGGCUGUCUCUUCCCUUCCUCCAUCAGCUCCAGUAUAUUUUAUGUAGAAUUCUCUCCGUUAAUGAAGCUUGCUUCUCUUCUCUCCUCACUUCCCAGUUUUGCAUUAGUGUUACCAAAUCCACCAGACUUGCCGCGUUUCAAAACUGUGCAAAGGGAGAGAAAAAAAAUGUUUUCUCUUCCCAUACAGCCUCCCGUUGGACUGUUCUGCACAGACCCUAAAUAUACAACCUCUGUUCAUUUGUAUGUAAAGUUUCUGUUGCUAAAUGAGAAAAAAGUAGUUUGAAAAGGCAGGCUUAAACACUACAUUUCGGUCACUUUCCUGUCGCGUCCGCGAGGGCUUGUGUUUUAGCUCUAGGAAUUGCGAGGUACUGGCAGCUGCCUUGAUUUUAUUCCCCUGGAAGUGCCUGACAGUCACUAAAUGGAAGAGGCAGCAUCGGUGCUACACCUGAGUGCGUGAGUUUGCUCUAUAUACCCCGAGUCGGAAUGAAGUGACGGCUUCUUAGCAAUCAGAAUAUUUUCAUUGCUUGCUUAUAACAUUUCCAAAAUGCUAGAAAGAUUCUGAAUAGCUUUGUAUGGUCCAGAAACAAUUCCUCUAUCUGAAGGGAAGACAGCACCGAGGUGCAACUGAAAAGCUGCAAGUGACUCUAAGACGUGGCUAAAGGUUGGUGUCACAAGGUUUGUACUGUGUUUGCUUCAUGAUGCAUGCCCUAAUUUAGUAAUUUUCAUGAAUGGCUUUGCCUAAAUGUAAAAAUCAAUGAAGACAUUUUGAUGCUAAAAAAUCUAUUUAUCUAAAAGAAAUAAAAACUGAAAUCGCAAUAAA